ACAAUAAGGUAUGGUAGUCGUAC
rnacentral:siRNA from 1 species